UACGGAGGGUGCAAGCGUUAUCCGGAUUCACUGGGUUUAAAGGGAGCGUAGGUGGCUUUGUAAGUCAGUGGUGAAAUCUUAGAGCUCAACUCUAAAACUGCCAUUGAUACUGCUUAGCUUGAAUCACGUCGAGGUGGAUGGAAUAUUACAUGUAGCGGUGAAAUGCUUAGAUAUGUAAUAGAACACCGAUUGCGAAGGCAGUUCACUAGCGUGUAUUGACACUGAGGCUCGAAAGCGUGGGAUCAACAGGAGUUAG
rnacentral:rRNA from 1 species